CCCCGGGCCCGGCCGGCCCGGCCCCCGCGGAGCCUGCGCGCACCGCCCGGCAUCGCCGGCGCCUCCGAGGGCCUCCGUGCACGUGCACUAGUUCUGCGUGGCUAACCCGGACCCCGGAGGAACCUCGGUGGCGCUAGUCUUCUCUCUUGAAACCUUUGUAACUAUUAAGGCUGAAGUGCCAUUUAAAGAAAAAGGAAGGCAAAGAAAUGAGCUAUAGGAAGCCAUGAUCAAUCCCACUCUGGUCUUACUGUCAUUUGUCAUUCUAGCCAGCUUUGAGAGAUUUCCUGCUAAAUGCUGAUUUCCCAUGAAGCUAAUAUUUCAGCUGCAGGACUCUUAACUUGAUGGACCCUCCCCAGGCUAUGAAACCAGGAAGAAGCAACACCCCAAGAUAGUGGAAGAAUGUAGUCUUGCUGGUCUGGAGGUCAUUUCUCAUCCUAGUGGUGGUCUUGGAGCUGCAGGAGAGUAGGGGUGAGGCAGAGGAAGAGGAGAGAGAGAACCUUAAGCAAGCUGUACACCAAGCACAGAGCUUGAUGCUGGCUCAAUCUCAACGACCCUGAGAUCAUGACCUGAACUGAAAUCAAGAGUUGAACACUUAACCGACUGAGACACCCAGGCACCCCUACCCAUUUUUUUAGUUUUACAAAAAGGUUUGCCAGUUUCUUUGCUUACCUCUCCUCUGUGUUUCUCAUAUCUUUUCUGGGUCUUUUUUCCUUCUUACUCAAAUACAUCUUUUAGUGAUUCUUCCCGUGAAUGUCUGCUAAUGACCCUACUCAUUUCCUCUCCCUUCAGAGGCCACUCUUAUCCUAAAUUUACGAUUUAUCACUUGUUCGUUUUCUUAGUAGUUUUACAAGAAAAAUAAAUUGUUAUGCAUGUUUUAAAACUUUA